CAGGGAUUAAAUAAGACAAUAUGAGGGAAUGAAUGCAUAAAGUAUUAUACUUUUCUAUUAUCCAUCAACUUCUAAAAUGCUAAUCAAACAGAUCAUUUCACACGUUGUCAUUACGAAAUCAUGCAAAUGCGCUGAUAGUGUCUCAACCGGAAUAGAUAUAUUCAGGCGUCAGUGGAUCCUACAACAGCUGCCUAAUCGUAUAUGCCGUUCCAUAUGGUGUCCUGGGGGAUGUAAGCUCGGACUCUAUAUUCACAUAGUCCGUUGAGGGAUGCUAAGUAAAUGAAUGAGGGAUCGGACGACCGUGACUGCUAGUUGCCCACACCACAUUCAUGCACUGGAGCACAUUCCUGCAAUGAUUAACGUACACCAGGCUCCAUACCCACAUGGGUUUACUGAACCCCUCUCUACAUCACACGGUGACUCGGACUGGACAGGACAGGGCAGGCUCUUUACCAAAUGUGGAACUGCAACGAUCGCGAUGCGAACGUUCUUCUGACUUUGAAACCCGCACCACUUUGCUAGUGUUGACGGUGUCCUUUUAAGGUGUUCGAGCCUGCUCCGCCCUUGUCACAUGUCCCGAUACAACAUUAACUUCUGAUUCUUUCAAAGUAAUAUCAUUCCAUGAUCUCAUGUUUUACCUCGUGAUCGGAGAAUUACUGUAAGCUACUUAUCGGUGAGUCACGGUUAACUAAUACUUUAAGGGCCUUUUGCAGUCCGUUACUCGAGUUCUAUAUCUCUUGAUUUAUUAACAAGCGGCAUGAAAUAACCGCAGUUCUCAAUAAUGUUUAUUUUUAUAAAUUUGUCUUGUUUCGAAGAUGCAACAGUGUGUUGUUUCACGAUGUAUUUUGUUGGGAAUGAUUGUCACUGUCACCGACUCACUGCAAGGUUCUGUUUUGUACACAAUGAACUUGAUUUGUAGGGAAUGCGGGGAAUUCGUCCUAUAUGGUACAAUAUCAACGGUUUUGUAGAUCCCAUCUCUGUUUUGGACGUAAUAUGUCGUCCCAUCCAAACUGCGUUGUACAUGUAAGUCACUGGAUUUUCAAGUCCAGACCCGAUGAUUAAGGGACCACCAUCAUUUCAUUGCAGCUUCAAAACACACCAGUGUUCCAAACUCAUCUUCACAUGUGAUACAAAUGACGUAUAUCUUGAAACGAUAAUAUGGAUCCGCAGAUAUGGAGAUAUAGAGACUGAUAACAGCGCACCUGCAAAUCUACCCCGCAAGUGAUGACGUUAUAACCACCCUUACUAUUCAUUUAGUAUGUGUUUGCGAAGAAGAUGUAUCGUACAAGAGUCUGUAUCGAAAAGUUGCACUUACGAAAUAACUUACGAAAGGAGUUGUUAUCCAUAACGUUUGUCAAUAUUGUACUUACCAACUUCUAAAAUGCCUGUUUCCCCUUUUGAAAAAUUA